GCAGACACAUUCCAGCCAAUCAGCAGCAUAUCCUCCCUCCCAGACCCUCCCACCUCCUGGACAGCUCACUAAGAAUGCAGCUUCACAAUGAAUGUAAAAUGGAUGCUGUCCAGGAGAUGGGAGGGUCUGGGAGGGAGGGUCUGCUGCUGAUUGGCUGGAAUGUGUCUG
rnacentral:miRNA from 1 species